GCAUCACUAAAGUCAUCAUUCAGUUCUGUGACUGUUUGGACUGCACUUGUUCUUCUGUUGUAUUUCUGACAGAGCAGCUGUCGGUGGCAGAUCUGGACUAAUAAAAGACGUGUCGUUACAACCUGUACCCACACAUGCCAACAAACCAACCACAACUGAGAUCCUAUAGACUUUGAUUUAAACUGCAGACAAAAAAUGACCUAUGAAUACUGCUGGAGUCAGUGAUUCAAACAGCUGUUUAUCUAUCUAUCUAAAUACCAACAGGUGACCAGACAGACAGUUACAGUCAGUGUUAGCAACAGUGCUUCAGACAAUAUUCAGAUCUGUUCCCUUUUCUGACCUCACUUUGUAGGUUGGAGAAAUAGAGUGAACUGUUGGCUAUUCUGCUCAUUGAAUUCAUACAUCUUAGAAGAGAUACUUCAAGGUAAACUCUUAAGCAGUUACUAUAAAUAUACAUGUACUCACUCCAGUUUGUGACAUUGCUUUUGAAAGCCAAGUUUUUUUCCCAGUGGAGCACAAAGUCUGAAUCCUUUCUGAAACGAUUAGAAUACUGAGUCAUGUGAUCGUUGCUUCAGUCUGGUUCUCCAUCAGCAUCACAUCUUACUGAGCUUGUGGGAAGUUGAUAUAGACAAAGUAAAAAGAUAACCUUUUUUCUCCCUCAAACGCAACAAGUUUACUGUUCGACUUCACCAUUCAGCUGUAUAAUCAUUAGUAAGAAGGCAUUAAAUUAUCUGAUAAAUGUGGAGCUAAAGGCUGCACAGACAGUAUGUUGAUAUUCCAGCUGAUGUCUACAAUACGCUGCAUGUCACUGAUGGCCCUGCUGCAGCAUUCUUUCACUACUGAGUUGAUUUCAUGAGUCAUGUAAGGCAACAGGCUGAUAGCUGACAGACAAAAGUCAUCAAACAGAAAUAAACAAGCCAAGCAAGAUGUCUAGUGUAGGUUCAGCUGCACAUAUAUGCCAGUCAUGAUCUGUCUCUUAGUUUGAUCUUCUGCUCUAUUGAAUGUGACUCAUUGCUGGUGUCCAAAGUCAGGGAAAAAAACAUACCAAGUCCACUGACUUAAAUCUUCAUGCCAAGCUUGGCUUU
ensembl:lncRNA